UGGCCCUGAACUCCUGGGCUCAAGUGAUCUUCCUGCCUUGGCAUCCUGAGUAGCUGGGAUUACUGGUGUGCAUCUGGCUCCUCAAGACAUUAUUCUUAAUCUCCAUAACAGAAUUAAGCACUGCCGGGAGGUGGCUGUCAGCAGCUGGGACGACAAGAAUGAAGAUGUUUGCAAGGCCCGCAGCAAGCAUGUUGCAGAUACCAAGUCUUCAUGUGUCAGGCUGCUGAUACC